UUCGAAAAAAAAAUUAUAUAUUGUUUACUGCAUAAUUGACAGAUAGAGUAUUAGUAAGAAAAGAUUUUGAUAUAAGUAACUAAAUAUUUAUUAGGUCUCCACCCAUAUAAAUCUAUGGACCAUCAACAUUAUAAUUGAUGGAGGUCUUAUUUAUAGUUACAAGAAGGCUUAAGCCAUACAUGGCCAUCAACAUGGGUUGUAGUGCACUGGUGAGAGUGGUUCACCCUUAAUCAGAUGUCUUGGGUAUGGAGAAAAUUAUGUUGGGAGCGUCAUCCUCGAAUGGACCUUGUAGAGCACAAUUCAGAUUUAGUCGGACCUCCAAUGUGAGCUCCGAACACCGAGUGGAAAACCAAAAAAAAAAGUCAGCCCUUUAAAGUUAUUUGUAUAAUUCGCUUAGACAUCUUAACUAGAACUAGUACUUAUUGAACACAUCUACCUAUUUAGAUUUGAACCUUUUCAUCACUUUUUUGACAAUCAGCUAAAAAAUAUAAAUGUGUGUAAUACACUCACAUGACAAAUUGACAAAUCAAUGAUGUACAUGUGACAUUUCGAGGGACAAAAAAAACAAGAAAUGAAGGAAAACGGAAGUCGCAGUGGAAUCAACUACAAAACUAAUGAUGAAAAACUAAUUCAUCUCAUGUCUAUGGAGUAGAGACAUCAACUUAUCUCUGAGCAAUCAACUGAUUUAACUUACUAAUGAUCAGUAGAGAAAGAUUUACAAUUCAACUGAUCUCUGAGCAAGUUGGAGUGAAAACGAUGCAAAUUCUUCAUUUAAAAUGCCAUCCCGUCCAACCAUUAUUGCCGUCGUCACCUUCAACCCUUUCAAUUCAACGAUUUUUUUUUUCAGAUCUGAUUUUUUAAAAAGUUGAAAAUAGCAAAUUACAUAUACAUAAAAAUUAAUCAAUACAUGAACCACCUAUAAUUUUUUAGAUACCAAUAAAAUUAUUGACUACAUAAUCAUCUAAGCAAAGCAUGGAGAAAGGUGGAAGGAGAAGUGAUUCCUUUUUUAUUUUAGAUCUGAUUUAUUUGGUACAUAUAUAUAUAAAUUUUUCAAGAAGAAAAAAAAAGGAAGGAAGAAAUAUAAUAGUCAUUGUGUGAGUCUCUAUUUUUCUGAUGAAUAAGAUCGGUGAUAGUGAUGGCAACAUCGGCGGCAACUGUGGAAAAGGUAGUGCAGUAGAAGAAGUUAUGGCUAAUGAAGACGGAAGAAGAAAGAGAUUAAAAAAAUUAAUUAAUUAAAAGUACCCUUCUGACGCAUUAAAUGUAGGUGUAGUGUAUCUUCCUUGCCAGCAAAAAAGUAUUUGAUAGAUACUUGUUUUUGAAUAAUAUAAGUGUUCAAUAGGAAUAAAUGUUAAAUAAGGUAUCAAAAUAAAAUAUUCGAAUAACUUUAAGGGGCUAUAUAUAACUUAAGCCUUACAGGAAACUCCAAAAAAAAACAUGUUGAGGUCAAACUGAGAACUUUAAAUUACGUCCAAUAAUUUUGAAAAUGGAUAGUCUUGAAUUUUUUACCCUCUUAAAGUAUUCAUGAGAUAGUAGGGUCAUAAGUUCAAGUUCAAGACCGCGUCUAAUGUCAUUAUCCAAGAUCUUUGCAAACAAAUAAGGCUAGGAUCUCGAACCGAAAGACAAGCAAGAAAAAUAAUCAUUAUUUUAAAAUUCACUAGUGAAUCUGACAUUAUAUAGUGUUUUGAAAUUUCACUGGUGGAAAUCCAAUUUUUAAAAUAAUGGCUAUUUUUAAUAUUAAUAGGAGAAUGGCUGGCCUAAUAAAACAAAAAUAAUAAGAAAUUAAUGCCCAAAAAAGAUACUACUGUAUAUAAUAUAUAUAAUACAAAACUUUAUUGAAGGAUUUUAAGAAUAAAACAAGGGAAAAGGGAUAAAUAUAUCUCGAACUUUCGAAAAUGUUACUCCCUCCGUUUCAAAAAGAAUGACCUAGUUUGACUUGGCACGGAGUUUAAGAAAAUAAAGAAGAUUUUUGAAUCUUGUGGUCCUAAAUUAAAGUUAUGUCAAAUGUACAAAAUUGCCGUUUAAUCUUGUGGCCUUAAACAUGCCACGUGGAAAGUUAAAGUUAAAAUGUUGCUAAAAAAGGAAAGGGGUCAUUCUUUUUAAAACAGACUAAAAAGGAAAUAGGGUCAUUCUUUUUAAAACGGAGGGAGUAUGUCAAUACCCUCCGUCAUACUUUUCGUCCAUUAAUGCCCUCGCUGUCCAAUAAUCAGUGCACAUUUACCCCUCCCACUAACGGAAGACUCAUUUUGUACACAUGGCGCAAUCCUACGCCUCAAUCCGAAUUGAUCAAAUAUUUAACCCAAAUUUCAAAUACUCGUUUAACCCGCCCCAUUACCCAUUUUAACAAACUAUCUACAAUCCAAUAAUCAGGCGUAGGAUUGUGCCACGUAUGAAUUAAAGAAGAAGCUCCAAGGAAAAAGCUCUAUGUUCAUGAACCAAAUUCACGUGAUCUCCCUUCCCAAACAAUUUUUAAGAUUGAGGUGACAUUGUUUUUGGAUUUUUUCCAACUAAAGCAGUCACUUGGAAGCUUGUAAAUAACUACUAUCACUUCGAAGUUUUGAGGUCACAUUGUUUUGAAAAACUUAUUAUGAUUUAUAACUUGGAAGCUUGCAACUACUUUUUUUUUUCAUCCGGUGUCGUACCUGCAUUGAAGCCUAACUAUUCCAAAUUCAUGCCACGUAGAACUCAUUCGAGGGGAAAUACUCCCUAUCAAAGAUUUUUUCAUAUUCAGACUCGAACUCAAGAUCAUAACUACUAGCACUUACUGACAUAUACAGAUUAUUCUUAUCCCCAGCAACUCCAAAAGUAAUGAAUUCUCACAUCCAACUACUUGUAAAGCUCUUGGUUAUUGGACACUGACUUCCAUUUUUCACUUAUUGUUGUAAUCUUUUAAAGAACGAAUUUUAUAAACAGGUACAAGUAAAUACUUUUUUUAACCCCACCUGAGUAGUCCAGUAAAAGUCUAUAUAACUUAGGCACACAUACAUAUUUUUACUGUUGUUAUCUUUCCUUUCUGUUCCAGCAAAUGAAAAUCAUCUGAAUUUACAAUGCAGUUGCAUCUAGAGGUGUCAAAAUGAGUUCAACUAUAGGUAAUUCGUUCAAUUCAUUCACAAUUUUAAAGGUUGGACUUAAGAUAAUUUAACAUGGGUUCAAUCUCAAUUCAUUUAAGUUUUAACCUAUUUUAAGAGAAUCUUCAAUUUAGCCUAAUUUAAUAGUAUAACUUACAUAAAUGAUGUGUAGUUAGGUAAUUUUUCCAAUUUAAUAUCCAAUUUCAACCCGUUUUAAUUUUUUUUUAUUUGUGUUGAUAUAAUGUAUGUUCCUAUAUUGAAGGUAUGAAUUACUAUCUAUUUUAUACCUUUAGGAUUUUUCUAUCCAUUUGUAACUUCUUUUUUUAAAAUUUUCUUGAGUUCAAAUUCAAAUUGUGGUUAAAAAAGUUAUAUGUAAUUCGCUAUACAUAUACAAAAAAAACAGUUGUAUAAUCCGUUUUGGUAUACAUAUACAAAAAGAUCAAUUGUAUAAAGUGAGAGAGGCGAGUGAGCGAGCGAGAUCUAGGAGAGUGGCGAGCGAGAUCUGGGAGAGUACCGAGUNNNNNNNNNNNNNNNNNNNNNNNNNNNNNNNNNNNNNNNNNNNNNNNNNNNNNNNNNNNNNNNNNNNNNNNNNNNNNNNNNGUUUUGGUAUACAUAUACAAAAAUAUCAAUUGUAUAAAGUGAGAGAGGCGAGUGAGAGAGCGAAAUCUGGAGAGUGUCGAGCGAGAUCUGGGAGAGGGGAGAGAGGGGAACGAAAAUAUAUGUAUAUAUACAAUUUUCUCUCGCUUUAUACAAACACAAACGCAUUUUAUAUAAUUUGCGUUUUUGUAUAAAUUUUUUGUAUAAAGUGAGAGAGCGAGAUUUGGGAGAGGGAAGAGAGGGGAACAAAAAUUAUAUGUAUAUAUACAAUUUUCUCUCGCUUUAUACAAACACAAACACACUUUAUACACUUGCGUUUGAUAAAAAAAUGAGAGAGGUGAGGGAGAGAACGAGAGUGGCGAGCGAGAUUCACCAGGAGAGAGGUGAAAUAGCAACAAUUUGCUAUGAGGUACAAUUAAAUCAAACUAUAUUUAUAGCAUUUAAUUUGAAUUAAUAGUUUGCUAUUAUAUACAAUUUUCCCUUUAUAUUUCAACCCAUUCUAAAAUGAGUAAAUUUUAGGUUUAGCAAACAUAAAAAUCAUAUUUGUAUGUUAUAGCUAUAGUUUGCAUAAUUGCGCUCCAUAGCAAAUGUUAUGUCUGCUAUGUAGCUAUUAAUUUGUAUAUUUCAAUAUUCAUUCCAAUUGUAUAAGUAUAUAUUUGGAAUAUGUAUACAAAUAAGAAACUGACUUGAUCAUAAGGUGUAUAAGUAUAUAUUUUUUUGUUGUGAUUUUCAAUCAUAUAUGUAUAUGUAUAUGUAACUGUAUUUUUGUAUACAGAUAGAUUUGUAUACAAAUAUCUCUCUCUCGUUUUAUACAAACACAAAUUAUACAAAAUCCAAUGUAUAAUUUGUGUUUGUAUAAAACGAGAAAGACAAAGAGAACUGGGUAAGGGAGGAUUUGUAUUGUAUAAUUAUAAGUGUAUAGGACGAAGAUAUAUGUAUUUGUAUAUACAAUUUUCUCACUUUAUACAAACACAAACACAAUGUAUACAUUUGUGUUUGUAUAAAAUGAGAGAGGCGAGAGAGAGUGGCGAGCGAGAUUUCUAGGAAGAGAGGCGAACGACAAAGUGUUUGCUACGAAUUAGAAUUAAAUGAAAUUGUGAUUAUAACAUUUAUUUUGAAUUAAUAGUUUGUUAUUUCAUACAAUUUUCCUUUCUAAAAUUUCUAAUUUCAACUCAACCCGCUCGUUUGUCACCGCAGUAGCAUUCGAUUAAUUUGUCCUCUUUUUAAGCUUGGCAUCAUAGUAAUGAAUGGUAUUAGAUGGUGACAUACUUGUCCUUUCUGGCUGCUGUUUUUUUCAGUAUCCCCAAACAAUACGUGUUAUCGAUGAGAGUCUCUUACACAAUACGUGUAAGUUCAAUCCUCAUUACAAAUAUUUAUGAAAAAUAAAGAAAGGAUUGCCAACCCAUAUACUUGAUCUAAUGUAAGCUAUGAAGUACAUGUUAGAUGAUAGAGCUGCGCGAAUCACUUUAACAGAGACAAGUUGAUUUCUUUAUCUUUUGAAAAAAAAAAUUGUGAUGUUGUCAUAUAUUUGGUUCAUUCGUUGUCUGUAUUGGCAAGGGUUGAACAGAAAAGUGAUAAUUUGGACUAUUGUGAGAUUGAAGGAUUACAUAAUAAUGGUGUGUUUCGUACGGAGGAAAAUAUUUUUCAAUUUAUGUUAAAAAUUAUAUAGAAUAUUUUCUCUAGAAAAAUAAAAUUCUUGAAACUGAGGAAAUAACUCCUCUAGUGAAAGUAGAAAAUAAUAAGUUCCAGUAAUAACAUAUUAGUAUGUCAAAUAUCUCCUCACCACCCUUUAAUACAUCCCAUCUCCACUAUUAAAAAAUCACUAUUUUCUCACUGUAAGAAUAGAUACUUGAUUAAAUCGAUGGAAAAAGAAAAACAAAAUAAUAUUUUCAUAUGGAAAAGUUAAAAAGUUUUCCACAAUGCAUUUUUCGGGUGAAUUGGUUUAAUAGAAAAUGAAAUUAUGAUCUAAUUUCCCAUCGAUUCGCAGUGCAUUUUUUUUUUGUUUUUAGCAGUUCUCAUACUCCUACCUCUCUCACAUGAUAUUUGCCUAGAUUAUAAAAAAUAUUUUUAAAACAAUAUUUUCUUCUUACUUACAAACACCAAAAAAAAAAGUUAAAAAACCACUUAUUUUUCUAUAAAAUAUUUCCUUCACGCCCCACACAACCUAAGACAAUUUAUUUAGUCAUUCUACAGUUUUUAGAAUGUUAACACCAAUUGAGAGUGCACACAGCACAUGUCAUGUUCUAAUAUAAUUCAUUAACUCCAACAACUUAUGCUAUCAUGCAUCAAAAACUAUGUGUGAGACAGUGUGCUUCGUCUCAUUGCAUUAUUCUACUUGAAUUUUGUCAUCACUUCCCUUUGUUUUCUCAAUAGAAUAUACUAAUAUAUAUUAUAAUAGAUAUUCCUACCUCUCUCACAUAAUACAAGAAAAAAGAAAAUUCUGUAUACUGUUUAAUUUGAUUAUAAAUUUACUAUGCAGAUAUAUAAUGGCUUCAUCAAUUUGAUAUUCAUCACUUCCCUUUAUUUUCUCCAUUGAAGAUAAACAUAUUAUAAUCAGGCAUGGAUGCAGGUAUAGUUAUCGAGUUCAUAUGAACUCAUUAUUUUUAAGGCAAAGCAAAAAUUUAUCAAUUUGAGUAUCUACUCAUAACUUAAAAAUAUAUUGAGUUUAAUGCAAAAAAAAAGCUUAUAAAUCAAUCCUGGCAUGGAAGAAGAAGAUAUUUCAUCUUGACUUGUUAAAUACGACUCUAUUAUCAAGCUCUGAGAUGCAAGGAAUUCACAAUCUUUUGCUAUAGUUCUUACUCAUUAUAUAUUAUUUCGAUCAUCAUUUUUGUUCUUUACGUAGUCUAUAGAUUUUCAUUUAUUCUUGUUUUCCCAACCUAGCCAACAAAAAAAAAAGAGUUGGGAGUCCAAAAUAGAACCCAUAAAAAUAAAUUCUGAAUACUAAAAUUUGGUCUGCCCAAAAUUUCUGACUAUAAAAUAGCAGUGAAUUGGAGUCCAACUCCCGCUUAAUCGGCAAUAAAGAAAAUGGCAACCUUACUGGAGCGUGGGUCACACACAACCUUACUCAUUCAUUCAAGGCGCGUGAGCGCACCCAACUAAAUGAAUCUAAACACACAGUGUGUGUAGUAUUCAACCUAUUUUAUUUUCUAUUAUUUCCCCCCCCCCCCCCCCCCCCCCCCCCCCCCCCCCCCCACCCCCCNNNNNNNNNNNNNNNNNNNNNNNNNNNNNNNNNNNNNNNNNNNNNNNNNNNNNNNNNNNNNNNNNNNNNNNNNNNNNNNNNNNNNNNNNNNNNNNNNNNNNNNNNNNNNNNNNNNNNNNNNNNNNNNNNNNNNNNNNNNNNNNNNNNNNNNNNNNNNNNNNNNNNNNNNNNNNNNNNNNNNNNNNNNNNNNNNNNNNNNNNNNNNNNNNNNNNNNNNNNNNNNNNNNNNNNNNNNNNNNNNNNNNNNNNNNNNNNNNNNNNNNNNNNNNNNNNNNNNNNNNNNNNNNNNNNNUAAUUUUAUUACUUUAAUUUUAAUUUCAUUUUAAAUUCUACUUCAUCUUCCACCCCUACAUUCAAGCUACCCCUCCCUCCCCUUUUUUUUUUUUUUUUUUUUUUUUUCCCCCCCCCCCCCCCCCUACAUUCUGGAUCAACUUGUGAAAAUCAUCUAAGAUUUUCCUGCCUUCAUUUAUAACAAUAGUGCUAUUAUACAAUAAUUCAUUUAUUAUGAGCAUACAAUAAGGCAUACUUUUCAUUGCUUAUAGUCAUGGUAUCAUCAAAUUCCUACACAUAUUCAUUGUAUAACAAAAUAAGUAAACUUUUAAAAGGAAAAUAUAAUUAUAUCUUCAUAUUUUCCUGUUAUAUAAAUAGCGAGUCCAAGUCAUAUUUGAAACACAACAAAAUGGAUAAGAGCUCAGCUACACCAAAUGAUUCAUUUACAAGUGCCAUGACACUUACUGAAGAGGGACUAACCUGUAUUCCCAAACGUUACAUCGUUCCAUCAUCCCUACGCCCCAACGGAACCUUGUCCAACUCCAACACAUGCUUGCCAAUUGUGGAUCUAUCCUUACUGCAACACCCUCUUCUUCGGCCUCAGAUAAUCCAGCAAGUAUACCUGGCCUGCAAGGAACUAGGUUUUUUCCAGGUACGUAAAGUUUCUUCAUGCUGAUACCAUUUAAGAGAUAACAAUAUACACUCACCAAGUAAAUAAAAAAUGUUCUGGCCUUUAUCUCCUUCUCUCUUCCCUUUAUUUUCAGUUGAUGACGUCCUAGAUUUCAUAUACUUAGCAGUUUAAAAGGAAAGAGAAUAAGAAGUUCUUUACUAAUUCAACCUGGACGUAGAAUAACAGCAUGCAUGCAAUAAAUGACUGUGUGCAGGUAGUCAACCAUGGAAUUCCAUUGUCAGUCAUGAAAGAUGCAUUAGAUAAUGCGAUUGAGUUCUUCGAUUUACCAAGUGAAGAAAAACUGCAUCUCUUGUCUUCAAAUGUUCAUGACCCCGUAAGGUAUAGUACCAGUCUAAAUGAUGACAAAGACAAAGUAUCCUUUUGGAGAGACUUCCUCAAGCACUAUGCUAAUCCAAUCUCAAAUUGGAUAGAUUUGUGGCCAUCAAACCCCACAUUUUACAAGUGAGUCUUGUAUUCUUAAGUGAAUAUGUUUAUCUCUGAAAUAUUUCUGAUAUACAUAUAUUCUAAAUGUUCAAGAAGAAUAUAAUUUCAAAAGCCUAAAGCAGCUCAUCAUGCAGGGAGAAAAUGGGAAAUUACACAAAGGCAGUACAAAAGUUGCAAGAAGAAAUCAUGGAAGUAAUAUUUGAGAGCUUAGAACUAAACCCCGAUUACUUACAUGAAGACAUUGCAAAAGGCUCCCAGGUCAUUGCCGUUAAUUGCUAUCCAGCAUGUCCUGAGCCGGAUCUUGCACUAGGCUUGCCACCACACACAGAUUAUUCUUUGCUAUCCAUCAUUCUUCA
rnacentral:lncRNA from 1 species